CGCGGCAAGGCACCGGAGGCAGGCGGCCGGACGAUGGCAGCGCACUUCCCUGGAUGGGACAGGUGGGGGACCCCAGGGUGGGGGGGCCUCCUCCCGAGUCCAGCUACUCCCCGGGCCGUACGUCCGAAGACUUGAGGCGAGGGCCGCGCAAGCCACCGGGAGAGCGCGCGACCUGGGCUUUUGCGGGGCCAAGUCCUGGUAGCCGACGCCUAUACACUAGGACCCUGGGCUCCCUGCCCGCGGAGCUCCAGCAUCUUGGGGACUCCGCGGUCACCGGCAGGGUCCGGGUUGGGUGGCACCACGCCUCCUGGGGCCUCUGAGGGGACGGAGGUUUCAAGAAGGCGGCCUUUGUGAGGCUCCCAGAAAGCACAGGGCCGUUCGGGGAAGAUGUGGCCGUGCGGAACGGGACGGAGCUCCCCUGCCCGGGACUGGCGUGGAGCCGCUUCUCCGCCUAAAUCCACCAUUCCGCCCUCAGAGGCGUCGCGCGAACGGUGGGAAGCCUCUGCGAGCCGAAGGGAGCGUCCGGAAUGAGUCACGCAGACCCCAGCCCGCAAGGACAAGCUGCUGCGUCACCAUCCAAACUUGUGAGCCUCGCCUAGCUCCUCUACAAACUGAGGAGUAUAACCUACAGGAGGCUGAAGUGACGCGACCUGCGAAUCUGCCGCCCCUCCGUGGCCGGGUGGAACCGCUGGGCGCGGAGCCCGGGAAACCCUGAAGCGCCGGACGGCGAGCCUGACGUGACCCAGGAGCUGGCGGCUGCAAGCGACAGCACGACUGUGAGGAACUUCCCCACACCGCUUUUCCAGCUCUCUCAUCUCUAACGAGCCUCCACCGCUUUUUCUCCGCUCUCCUAUAGAAACCCGUGGCAGCCUAACUCUGACCCUUCCGCGGAGAGGGCGCGAGGGGAGGGUGCAAUUUGCGUUGGGCCCGUGGCGCAUGCUCAGUGGUUUGGGUUUCGGCGGGUUGCCGGGGCGGGGAGUCUGGCUUAAGGAUAGCUCUGCUGAUUGGCCGGUCUGCGCAGGCCACGCCCAUCUCCCGCUGAUGGACAGCUCCCUACCUGCCAGGGUGUCUUCCGCAGCGCGCUUGGUGGCGGUGUGGACCCUGCCUUCAGGUGAAUCCCUGGCGCCUGAGUUGCCCAACUGCGGGGAGGCCUCACAGCCCCGGUCAGCUCUGAAAGAGGCAGCCCGUUGCAUCCCACCCUAGCAAAGAACCAAACACCGGCCUAAAGUGGAAUCUUGAAGCGGGAAAACCACCAAUCUAGUGUAGAAUGCAAACACCACCGUUCAGAACUUAGUGGGCAGGUCUGCCACGUAAGCCUGGAGUUUGGGCAUGCAGUCAGCACUCAAUAAAUGCUUGCUGGAUUGGUUUGUUUUCCCAGUGCCUUGGGACACACGGUGUAGCACGGAGUGAGCCUGACAGGUUGGAAGAUAAACAAAACCAGUAAUGUGUGAUAAUAAAAACAAUUCCACACUAACCAUUUCCUCUAUUGCGAAAUGACGAAGUGGCCUAGACGGUUUCCAGGCAGCAGUAGGGCGGGAAGACCCCAGGAGUCUGAGGCGGGUGCUUUCACGGGGAGCUUGUGCUGUUUGGUGUGACCACACACCCCACGUUUACUCCUCUGAGGUACAUGGGCUACUUCAGCUCAGCUCUUACCUGAAGUGUCAGAUGCUAGUCUGAGAAUCCUAAAUGAAGUUUUCCCUUUGAAUUCUGACUCCUGAAGAAGUUCCAGAUAGCACAGACCUUUACCCUACUAUGUUACCUUGGCUCUCUAAACUGCGACUACUUCCACAGAAUGCAAAUAGAUUAUUUUUUAUUAUGAUUAAAAAUAACAAAUGUUGUGGGCCUUUCUUUUUUCUUUCCCUUUUUUGCUUUGUUUUGUUUAAGAAAUACAUGAACACAGAAAAGAGCACAUAUAUCUGGAGAGUGAAGAGUUCCCCAAACCUCCUAAUUUCACCCGUCUCUACUGGCCCUAAUUUCUGUGCUUGCUUACUGACUCAUUCUAUUCUAGAAUUGGCAGAUUUUCAUUUAGGAAGCAGGGGGUGAUGUGUAAGGUGCUGACAGUAGUAGUCACUGACAAUGUCUGAACAAGUCCAAGUCCCAACAGUCAGAGAAGGAGGCGUGGAAAUGUGAACUAAGCCCAGGAAGACCAAUUUUCCCAGCAACCCAGAGCACAGCCUCCUCUCCCAGGUGGAGUUAACAACUGGGACAUUUCUUAGGUUUAAAUUUGAGAAGAAACUUGGUCCUUACUGUUAUGGGUUGAAUCAUGUCCCCUUAAAAGACAUUAAAGUCCUUACCCCAGGACCUGUGAACGUGACUUUAUCUGUAAAUAGGGUCUUUGCAGAUGUCAUCAAGUUAUUUGAGGUCAUACUGGACCUUAUGAAAAGAGACACACACACAGAAGGCCUGUGAUGACAAAGGCAGAGACUGGAGGGAUACAGCUGCAAGCCAAGGAACACCAAGCGGGAGUGGGCCUAGAAUUGUGUGAGUUCUUACUGCAUCAGCUCCUGGGGAAGAGGCAGCCACACCUUUACUGAAGGAGGAGCAUCAGCUCCAGGAAGAACCCACUGGCUUUCCUGAAUUUCAAGAAGCUGAAGAAGAAGGGGGAGGGGCACACUUGUCUUUACUGCUGAGGCUGAGAACAUGUAAGUCCAUGUCACUAAGAAGAUGAGGAAUCAGGGAGCCUUCCUCCCACUGCCACAAAGACAGAACUGAUGACAUGUCACCUGCCACACUUCAGGUCCACAGGGGCAGGCCCUGCCUUGCUUUCACCAUGAGAGCAGCUUCCAUUUAAGUAAUGUGGUAGUUACUUCACAUGGCAAAAGGAAUUUUGAGAUAGGAUUAAAUUCAGGGUCUUGAGAUGGAAGAUGGUCUUGGAUGAUCUAGAUGGCCCAAAGUAAUUACAAAGAUCCUUCUAAGAGACAGGCAGAGGGGUCAGAGUCAGGGAAGGAGACAAGGGGAUGGAAGCAGAGGCUGGAGGGAGUGUUUUGAAGAAGGAGGAUGGAGUCAAGGAAUGCAGGCAGCCUCGGAAAUAAAUUCUUCCCCAGAGCCUCCAAAAGGAACAAAGUUGGACUGGCAUCUUACUUUUGGGACUUCGGACCUCCAGCACUGUAAGAUAAUAAAUUUAUAUCAUUUUACUACUUUUUAUUUGUAACUUAGGUGAUUGAUUUCUUGAAUAUGUGUAAGUACAAUUUGUCCUUUAUG